CCUGAUGCAGCGACGCCGCGUGAGUGAAGGAUGUUUCCGUGUGGUAAGCUCUAUUCACCGGGAACAACGGGAGGCAACUCCUUUGACGGUACCUGACUGUAAGCCCCGGCUAACUACGUGCCAGCAGCCGCGGUAAUAAU
rnacentral:rRNA from 1 species